rnacentral:rRNA from 1 species
UACGAAGGGGGCUAGCGUUGUUCGGAAUCACUGGGCGUAAAGGGCGCGUAGGCGGCUUUGUAAGUCGGGGGUGAAAUCCUGGAGCUCAACUCCAGAACUGCCUUCGAUACUGGAAAGCUCGAGUCCGGGAGAGGUGAGUGGAACUGCGAGUGUAGAGGUGAAAUUCGUAGAUAUUCGCAAGAACACCAGUGGCGAAGGCGGCUCACUGGCCCGGUACUGACGCUGAGGUGCGAAAGCGUGGGGAGCAAACAGG